rnacentral:rRNA from 1 species
AUGGAGGUCUCCGCCUCCGCCUCUACGCCUCAAGCUCUCACCCUACUCACUUGCCCGCCUUGCUUCCUCUCUCUUUACCCUUCCGCCCGCCGGCACGGCCGCGCCGGCGGGGGAGGGCUCCUGCUGCGGCCUCCGCCUCGACGGAGGCUGGAGCUGGGGUACCGUGCCCGCCGCCCGGUGGCAUGCUCUCUCAGCGGCUCCUCCUCCACUGCGCUGGACGUGUUAGGCGGCUCGGUGGUCGCCGUGGCCGCUCUCCUCGCCGCCUUACAGCUGGUUUGGCUCAGGUGGCGCGGCGCAAUGCAUAGGGAAUCUCCGGAGGUUUUAUAUACACAGGUCAAAAGCAAUGUAAACAAGGCCCUCGGAAGAACAACACAAUCCAUACAUGAUAGUAAUGAUGCAUGUUGUGCAACUCAUGAAAAUAGCUUUUCAGAGCUAUCUAUUUCUGAAGGAAUGACUAUUAAUGAAUUGGAGUGCCGGGCUAGUAUUUCGUGCAUAUACCCUGUAAAUAAGACAACGCAGGCGGUUUCUGUAACUAAUCCAGGGGCAAUGUUACACACAUUAGUUGAUGUAUCUCGGCAAGAAGAAGUUGGUUGCUCAACUUCAGCAGAAAAAAGAAAUUCUACAGAAAAUGUUAUGGAUGUUCUUGCAACGCCUUAUUCUGGUCCACCAGGACAACAUAAAAGCAAGUAUGUCUCUAACAGAAUUGGCUGGCAAGGUGGGCUCUCGUACCAAUUUUUAUCCCUUUCAGAAGUACAGAAAGAUGCUCAAAAUGGCAAUGGUCUUGGUGACAGCCAAACAAACAGCAACAAUACUCAUUUACUUCGAUGCCAUCAGUGUAAUGAUGAUGAAAAUAUUGAUUUGACAUCUCUUUCAUCCUUCAAAAGAACAGUGGAAUGCCCUCUCAAUUUUGUUCCGCAAGCCAGUAUUGGAAAUUUGUUCAGACCAAGAAAAGCAAUUGAGUUUGCUGAUUCAUAUGUAGGGGGCUCUCAUCUGACACCAGGGAAAUUAGCUCUAUUUGCAUGCUUAAGGGAGGGUCCUGCCAGCAAACAACAGAAAGCAGUGAAAGACCAUGAUGAUGCAAAAACUAUUGGCUGGAGUAUUUCUGAUAUACUGAAUAAAGAGAAUCUAGAUAAAUUCAUUCCAGCGACAACAGCUGGAUUAAACGGCACAGUGGAUACAUCAGAUUACAUGAGGCGAUACAAGAGUUCUUUAACAGAUGGAAGGUUGAAGGACUGUGUGGAUUUGUUGGAAAGCAUGGAGCAGAAGGGAUUGCUUGAUACGAAGAAGAUCCACCAUGCCAGCUUUUUGAGUGCAUGUAAAAAACAAAGGGCUGUUAUGGAAGCUGUUCGCUUCUGCCGAUUGAUUGAAAAUCCGAAAAUGAGCACCUUCAAUAUGCUUUUAUCGGUUUGUGCUAAUUCAAAAGAUUUUGAAGGGGCCCUCCAAGUUAUGGUGCUCCUAAAGGAGGCUGGGCUAAAACCCGAUUGUAAACUUUACACCACAUUGAUAUCAACUUGUGCAAAGUGUGGAAAAGUUGAUGCGAUGUUUGAGGGUGGAACCCUAGGUGGACGAUCUUUCACGUUUGGAGGGGAUCCUACGGGGAUUCACGAAGAACGCGCGGAAGAACACGAGGAAAUCACGGGGAGGAACAAGGGAAAACACUCAACCAACAAGGAAUCGGUCACACAAGUGCUAGAUCAAAGAACACAAAGAGAUACACGAGAUCCAAAGUCAACAAAGGUCUUCCAUGAGAUGGUUAGUGCUGGAAUAGAGCCAAAUGUUAACACAUACGGUGCACUAAUUGAUGGCUGUGCUAAAGCUGGGCAAGUAGCAAAAGCAUUUGGUGCUUACGGGAUCAUGAGUUCAAAGAAGGUGAAGCCAGAUCGAGUUGUCUUCAAUGCUUUGAUCAGUGCAUGUGGUGAAUCUGGAGCUGUUGCUCGAGCUUUUGAUGUUUUAUCAGAAAUGACAGCAGAAUCCUCAGAAUCGAAAGGAUGCAAGCCAAUUCUUCCUGAUCAUGUCACAGUUGGAGCACUCAUGAAGACAUGUAUUCAGGCUGGCCAGGCUGAUCGAGCUCGUGAGGUUUACAAAAUGCUUCGGGGGUACAGUAUAAAAGGUACUCCAGAAGUUUACACAAUUGCACUGAGAAGCUGUAGCUUGACUGGCGAUUUAGGGUUUGCAUUGAAGAUCUAUGAAGAUAUGAACAAGAUCGGAGUUCAACCUGAUGAGAUGUUUCUUAGUGCUCUAGUUGAUGUAGCCGGCCACGCUAGGAGGGCUGAUGCUGCUUUUGAAAUAAUCAAAGAUGUAAGAGCAAAGGGAUUUCAUGUUGGAAUCAUGGCAUACAGUUCCUGUAUGGGCGCUUGCUGCAAUGCCAAGGACUGGAAAAAGGCGCUGCAGCUAUUUGAGGAGAUCAAGGCUAUCAAAUUAAUUCCAACAGUUCCGAUGAUGAAUGCUUUAAUUACUUCCCUCUGUGACGGCGAUCAAGUUUUAAAAGCUGCUGAGGUCCUUAAUGAGAUAAAGGAACUACGUGUCCGUCCAAAUGAGAUAACCUAUUCGGUCUUAUGUGUGGCUUGUGAAAGAAAUGGUGAAGCACAACUAGCUCUUGAUUUAUUUGAGAAACUAAAAGUAGAUGGUAUUGGCCUCAAUCCCACCAUUGUCGGUUGUCUUACUGGUUUAUGCCUACAAAUGUUUUCCUAUGAUCUUUCACUUGGCAACAUCAUUGUCAGAUUCAACCAAGGGAAGCCACAGAUUGACAAUAAAUGGACUUCCUCAGCAAUUAUGGUUUUCCGUCAGGCAAUCACCGCUGGUCUGCUACCCUCAAGCGAUGUUUUAUCUCAAGUGCUGGGUUGUUUGAGGUUUCCUCAUGACAGUUCAUUGAAAACCACUUUCAUUGAUAAUAUGGGAAUAAGUUGUGAUAUGCCACAUCACCCCAAUACAAAUUCACUGUUGGAAGGAUUCGGUGAAUAUGAUAUCCGUGCUUUUUCAGUACUGGAGGAAGGUGGCUUGUUAGGAGCAGUUGCAAGCACUUCCACAAAAUACAGUCAAAUUGUCAUUGAUGCAAGAAAGUCAAACAUCUACACAGCCGAGGUUUCUCUUCUAUCGACAUUGAAGUCUUUGAAGCAUCGACUAGCUGCAGGUGCAAGGUUACCAAAUGUUACAAUUCUAUUACCCACCGAAAAGAAACAAGUUGAUCUUGAUGAAAGGGAGAAAACACUUAAACUUGCUGGAAGAGUCGGCCAAGCAGUUGGCUCCCUGCUGAGAAGAUUAGGAAUUAAAUAUCAAGGCGAGGAGUCCCACGGGAGGAUGAGGAUCAACGGCCUCACAUUAAGAAGGUGGUUUAACCCAAAAUUUACAAGCGCACCCCCCACAGGAGCUCCAGUUGAGUUGCUUCCACUGCCCUCGCGGUUAGCGAAAGGGAUUGCUGAUCAGCAGCGUGAUAUCAGAAGCCUUUCUCUAUAG